rnacentral:rRNA from 1 species
AGGAUGAACGCUGGCGGCGUGCCUAACACAUGCAAGUCGAACGUCCUGUCUCGCAAGAGGCAGGGAGUGGCGGACGGGUGAGUACCACGUGGGUCAUCUACCGUGAGGUGAGGAAUACCGGCGAGAAAUCGCCGACAAGACCGCAUAGCCUCGGUGCAAGUCGAGGAAAGCUCUCUCGAGAGAGGGAGCGCCACACGAGGAGCCUGCGCCCGAUUAGCUAGCUGGUGGAGUAAUGGUUCACCAAGGCGGUGAUCGGUAGCUGGUCUGAGAGGAUGGUCAGCCACACUGGGACUGCGAACGGCCCAGACUCCUACGGGAGGCAGCAGUUAGGAAUUUUCGGCAAUGGACGAAAGUCUGACCGAGCGACGCCGCGUGGAGGAUGACGCCUUUCGGGUGUAACUCCUUUUCUGCGGGAAGAUAAUGACGGUACCGCAGGAAUAGCACCGGCUAACUACGCGCCAGCAGCCGCGGU